ACUCCUGUUCUUGGCAGGCCCCGGCCGCCCUGUGCCCGGGUCUGUGAUGUCUGGAGGUAGAGCAGCAACUUUUUCGUGGGCACCC
rnacentral:snoRNA from 1 species